rnacentral:tRNA from 1 species
UGGCCUGUAGCUCAGGUGGUAAGAGCAGCUGCCUUAUACGCAGAAGGUCACUGGUUCAAACCCGGUCAGGCCAA